rnacentral:rRNA from 1 species
GACGAACCGUGCGAACGUUGUUCGGAAUUACUGGGCGUAAAGGGCGCGUAGGCGGCCACCGCAAGUCGACUGUGAAAUCUCCGGGCUUAACCCGGAAAGGUCAGCCGAUACUGCGGGGCUAGAGUGCAGAAGGGGCAACUGGAAUUCUCGGUGUAGCGGUGAAAUGCGUAGGUAUCGAGAGGAACACCUGCGGCGAAGGCGGGUUGCUGGGCUGACACUGACGCUGAUGCGCGAAAGCUAGGGGAGCGAACGGG